rnacentral:lncRNA from 1 species
CGGAGUAAGCAGCGUGACUCCAAUAGCUGGUGGAUGUCCUACUGAUGUGGCUCAAGCGUUGAUUUAUCUGUACCUGCACGACAAGAAACGAAACACCUCAGAAGGGACGUGAGUACAAUAUGUACAAAGUAUGUAGGAUGGAAAGCAUACUAAAGUAUGAAUAUACGCUGGAAAUCUAAAUAUAAGCUGGAAGCUAAACAAGAGUCUGAACUAGCAACUAAUCUAGAACUAAACUGAAGUUUAAGUUGAAACUAUGCUGAAAUUGAACUACUAUCUGAACUGGUACCUGACUGGAGUUAUCCUCUAUAUCCCCCAAUAAGGUAACUGUACAUCUGAACUGGCCUCCGAUAUCGUCGUGCAAUACAAACUGUAACUAUAUACACGUAUAUAACAUGCCUGACUGGCGUUAUGCGCUAUAUCCCCUAGCAGAUAAAUAGGACUGGUUGGUGUUAUGGGCUAUCUCCCCCAGCAUAUAAUUAAUAGGCCUCACUGGCGUUAUGGUAUAUAUAUCCCCCCCCCCCCCAAUUAUAAUCAAUGUAAGCAUGUGUGAGGCAUAAAACAUGUGGCAACAUCAUAUAAAAUCAUGAGAUCACGAAGGAAAGCAUAAACAGAAUCACAAACGUAAUCUGACGCUCGUCAUCCAUAAGUUUGAUGGAGCCAAUACCUAUUUUAAAGACAAAAUGAGUAUGUACAUUGGAUACUAAGGCUAAUUAACUCAUUAGGAUCCCUCUAGAAUCAAUUUAGAACCAAGGAACUUAAUAUUUGUCCCACUCUUUGAAUUUCCAAAAUUUCGGCAGAGUUUUCCUAAAACUUGAUGAUCCUAAAAUAAAAAAAACACCACAAUAUACAAGGGAAUCAAUACCUGACUAAGAUGAUAACAUAAAACUAAAGGUGGUCAAAUUAUCCACAACAGUGUCAAAUGAUCAACAAAACAGAAUUAUGAAGGUAAUGUCGGCUCAUAAUGACUAACUUGUGACAUGAAAGUCUAAAUACGAUUUAGGACUAAUAUAAGCAUCAAUACAUGAUAAUUAAGUAUAAUAUUAAAUGAAUAUAUUUGGAUCAUAAGGGGGUUAGGUAUAUAUAAAAACAACAAAUGAACGGAACAAACGGAUGUUCGGAUGGCAUAGGCCAAAUGGGCGAUUCGCCCUUUUUUGUUGUGUUUUGAGGUUCCAACCUAAACUAGUUUCUUCGAUACUUCCCAUAUGAAAUUUAAUACUAUACAAGGAUACAAUACAUGAUUAAAUUUCCCUUUAAUAACUCUUAAAAGAUCAAUAAGAAAGGGUAAAACUUAGCUAAACCAAACCAUACUGAAAAUGAAGCGAAAACGCUACAUACCUCUUGUGUUCUCGCUUACAAACAUUGUUCCCUUUGAUCCACACCCUUCCUUAUGCUUGUAUAGAUAAAAUACAGAGGUUACCAUCUUUAUCAGCCACUAAGCUCUAUCCAAAACUUGAUUUAUAAUGAAAAAGGAGGACGGCAAAGUCUUACCAUGUCGUAAGGAUCAUGUUCGUUUCUUGAUUUUGAGUUGUGGAUGAUGGACUUGCUUCAAAACCCUAAGGAACAUAUUGGAGAGAUAUGUAAUCUCUUCUUAGGCAUGAAAUUUAUGCAAAAUGAGGAAAGAAGAAGACUGUGUCUUCUAUUUAUAGUAAGGUUGAAAAGUCAACCACAUGUGUGCUUACUGAUCCUUCUUCCGACGCCCAUAUUUCUCUAUCCAAACAUCGUAAAAAGAGAAGUCGAGAGUGUUAGAACCUAAAUUUCAUGAACUUAAAUUUGGUAUAUAAUAUGUCCCAAAAAUACCUAAUAUAACACACAAAAUUAAAAAAAGCUUCGUUACAAGGCAAAUCCUUAGUCGGUUUUUCCGCAACUUAAAUUUGAUUUUUCCUAAACUUUAUAUUUUAUAUUCAAACAUCAUACAUAGUCAUAUUAUGACUUUAAACUCAUUUAAAUCAUGCUUAUCAAGUCAUUUACAUAAUAUACAACAUCACAUAAGUACGGGUAUAAUAAUUUCUUUUCAUUAGUGAAGUUUAUUUUUGCAUAUUAUUUGUUGGCUUGUCUAGCAAGCGGUGUUAGGAUCCAUCAUAGUUUUUAUGGGAGUUUGGGUCGUGAUAAGUUGGUAUUAUAGCACUAGUUUGCAUAAGUCUCGCAAUUCAUGAGCAUGCCUAGUAGAGUCUUGUGGAUCGAUACGGACGUUUGUACUUAUCUUUGAGAGGCUAUAGGGCUUUAGGAAACUUACCCUUUAUUGAUUCCUUUCAUGCGAUUUUAUUUUGUCCUUAAGCCUAUAUAUUAAAUUCUUUCCUACCCAUUUUGUACUCAGUUCUGAGUACUCAAUAUCAUAUGGGCACCGACGAGCUUUGAUGAUGAUACAAACAUGAUGAGGGAUUUUUUCUCUUGUGUGGGAGGUUAGAAUAUUAUUGUCGCUUUGCAGAUGAGUUAUUAGAGCCCAAGUGUCACACCUCCUUUUUCCUAUCCCCGAGGGAGAUAUAAGGGAGUUUUUUCAAUUUAAGUGACAAUCAAAACAGGAUUAUUUCAUUUAAAGAUUCAGAGUCACCACUUGGGAUAAUUUAUGGUGUCCCAAGUCACCGGUUUUAAUCCCGAAUCGAGGAAAGAUUGACUCUGUUUUACAGUCCGCGGACACAGAAAUCCGGGUAAGGAAUUCUGUUAACCCGGGAGAAGGUGUUAGGCAUUCUCGGGUUCCGUGGUUUUAGCACGGUCGCUCAACUGUUAUAUUGGCCUAAUUAUCUGAUUUUAAUACAUGUUUUAGCCUAUGGUAUAUUUUAACUUAUUAGCCGCUUUUAAUUAAUUUUAGGAAGAUUUAACGUUAUCUAAAACACAUCUUGAACCAUGCCACAUGAAAUGCACUCGCAGUCCACGACACAUUUUAUUUACGUUGUUCAGAAUUGGAGAUGGGUCACAUGAAAUGCACACCCGAGUUUAAGGAAAUUAAUUUAAAUUACGUGCCUAAAGCAACUAAGCACUUUCAAGUUUGCGAGGGCCAUGGAAAAUUCAACUAAAUAGCACACCUCGAUUCUAUUUGUCAAAGAAAUCUUGAUCUAAUUCUAACAGGGCCAUAAGUUAUGGACAAGAUAUUAUUGUGGAAAACACCCUUCAAUGGCAAGAACUAAUUUUUGGAGCAGCUAAAUUAAUUUCUUUAUAAAAAAUGAGCUAUAUCAGAUUUAAUGCAUCAAACCAAACGGAAACGGAAAUAAACAAACGCAAUCUGUCCCAUUACAAGGGCCAAUAAAGCACUACCAAAAAUUCGAGAUGCCAAAAAUUUGAUAGUAACAAUCGGAUCCAAACACAUGUGUCACAGAGAAAAAUAGAGGGAGAUGCAAAGCUAACCAACUCCUUGCUUCUUAGCUUUACCAUUUGAAAUGGUUGGCAAUUUUUUGCAGAAUACUCAAAUUGGCGUGGAAUUUCAUUUGGCGCAAGAGACAUCAUUUAGGAAAUAAUGAAUGGAAUCAUCAUACUCAAAAUAUAGCAAUGUUAAAACCAUAGUGUCUUUAUGUCCAACAGUACGUUUGCAAAUUUAGAAUACAAUUAAGACACUCCAAUGAAUGCAACCCAAUUAUAAAUAAUCAAGUUAUUUACAAAGUCAUUGUGGCCACAAUUUGGGUAAUCAUCACAGUGCUACUCAUAUUGCCAAAGAAUCUCCCAAACUUUACUGCCGACAUCGAAUUAAUAUGAUAACUUCCAAUAAAAUUUUUAGACGUUCAUACAUGAUGGUUCUCAAACUUGACUGAAGCUAGUUGGAUUUUAUUUAGAAUUAGUCCAAACCAUUAUAUUCACAUUAGGCAACAAACUAUAUUUGAGCACUCCACCUUACUUCAGUGAACAAACAAAAUUCCACUAAUAUAUUCAAAUACUCAAAGUAAAGAAAAAUCUUCCAACAACAACAUAAUAUAGGUAAAUAAAGCGACACUCAUAUAUACAUGCCAAAACAAAUAUAAGUACGGACAGAUAGGAAAUCAAACAACAGUCAUGAUUUAGGAAUAGAAAAGUUCAUCAACCAGCUAGUUCAAUCAAAACAAUAGGAAAUCAAAGUGAUAAAUGGCACCUUUUAAAGAAAUUCGGAUGAAGCCUUUUCCAUUGUUUGAUUCAAUACAAAAUUAAUUCCCAAGUGAAAGCUUCAAAAUAGAGCUUGAAAUAAGCCACAACUGCCGAAUAAUUGAGCGAUGACACCCAGCAAUCUCGGAAGUAACACAGUCCCGCAGAAACAGUAGCAAUUUCCUUUACAAAACCGAAUUUUGGAAGCUCAUUUCCUUCUCAGAUCUGUUUUGUAAGAUUCAAAGAAGCAAUAGAAAACCAUUUUUCAGUUGUUUCGUGUGUGCCGAUGGGGAGAUGAGGAGGAUGAAAGCGAGAUGAGAGAAUCAAGGAGAGGGUAUCACGGCUAGUUGGUGUUUUUCGCAAACAAAGCUGAAGAAGACGACUUAGGGUGUGCCGUU